GUGGUUCUCGCACACCGCUCCUUCUUUUCACGCUCGCGUCGCCGUUUGACCCCGCGCCGUCGUCGACGCUCUCGAUUUUUGCGGUGCGGUGGGUGGCGCCGCCGCAGGGGCGGCCCGCCGCGGUGGGGGCAAUCGGAGGUGGGGGUAGAUGCACUCCUUUCUUUUUAGCUUCUCUUUCUUUUCUCGUAUUUUUUAUGUUAGUAUUGGUGCGAAGCGGUCUCCUUUAUUUUAUUUUACACAUAUAUAUUGUGAUAAUUAACAGUGACGCUGCGCACGACGAGCGACUUUGCCGAAGCGUCGACUUAAUGAUAGCUUUGCAUUUGAUUAAAGUACCGGUGUUCGAUAUUGGCCAUUGCUAUUGUUCAGAGCUACACCGUGACGAGAUAAGAGAAAUACCCUUUAAAGCACCAGCGUAAUAUGCGAAUGGAGAAGAAUAUUGUGUGCACAAUGGGGUCGGCUCUCAGGCAACGGAUCAAAACAAUCCGUGGUGCGCGGCGUUUUAAAAGGCGUGCGUAAGAAAAUAAAAUGAGAGCGACUGUUAUUUGUUUAAGUCAAAUGAGUUUCUUAGGUCGCACCUCAUGCAUACACUUCGUGGAAGAUCUUUAUUAGCCAUGUGCCUAACCGCUCAAAGACACAUCGCAUUUAAAUAUCACACUAAAAGCGUCAAUCUACAUACGUCCUACCGAGCAAAUCCUAAAAGUGAUUUAUACUGAGACCCUAUUCGAUUGAAGUAGAUUACAAAUA